ACAUGAAGCAGUCUGGCUGCAGCAUCUGUCACCCCACUGAUCGCCAGGGUUGAUCUGGCUGAUCCGGCUGAUCCGGCUGGCCCAGGGGGUGUCUGCCUCCUCCCUCGCUGCUCUGUGUGUGUCCUGCCCUGACCCCCCAAGCUGCGCAGAAGAAUGCUUCUGCCCACUGAGACUCAUCUUGUUUUGCUUUAG
rnacentral:snRNA from 1 species